rnacentral:misc_RNA from 1 species
ACGCAUCUCUGGCGGCUCGGCCGCGCCCUGCUCCGGCCAGACUGGCUGUGCAGCGGGUGUGCCCCGUGCUGCUCAACCUCUGCAAACCCACCGUGCACUUUUGUCGGCAUGGGCCCAGUGUGACCCAGGCCGGAUUACAAACCCUAAAGACCAGAAUGACGCAGCGGACAGUGUACCGCCUAAACUAAUAA